UUUCAAACAUGCGCAGACUUGGAGGCAAAGCAGAGCCGGAGGAAACGGAUGAGGAACAGGCGCGAUAAGGAUUUGAAAGAUCAAUGUCAGCAGAGGAAUUGGCAGACUUGAACCUGAAACCAAACUGUGAUAGAAUAACUCGAUUGAUGAGGAUCUGAAUAUUAUCAGCAUCUGAAUGUGGUAGCGUUCAGUUGGACCAUUUGCAGUCAAUGAACUCAAAUGUCACUUCAGAUUCCUACGGAAAUGUUGAAUUCAUCCGGUCUUGAAUAUCAUCAGGCUUUGAUCAUGGAAGUCAAAACCAAUCUUUGCACUGAGAAACCAUGGAAAUGUGAGGACUAUGAGAAGGAAUUCAAAUAUCCAUCUUGCCUGGAAAGUCAUCAGUGCGGUCACACUGGAGAGAGAGCGUUCACCUGCUCUGUCUGUGGAAAGGCAUUCAUUUGAUCAUCCAAUCUGCUGACACACCAGCAAGUUCAUGUAAGAGAGAGGCAGUUCAUCUGCUCUGAUUGUGCGAAAGGAUUCACUCACUCAUCCCAUCUGCUGACACACCUGCAAGUUCACACUGGGGAGAGACCUUUUAAAUAUCCAGACUCUAGGAAUUGCAAGAAAAGUUCUGGAGAACUAAUAUCCCAUCAAGAUGUUCACACUCGUGAGAAACCAUUCAGGUGCUGUCACUGUCUGACUCAGUUCAAGCGAUCAUCUAAACACCCAGGACAUCAGCUCGUUCACACGGGGGAGAGACUGAUCAUCUGUUCCGUAUGUAAGAAGUAUUUCAUUCACUCAUCUGACCUGGUGAAAUACCAGCAAGUUCAUUCUAAGGAGAGACCUUUUAAUUGUUCAGACUGUGGGAAAUGCUGUAAAUGUUCUGGAGAAUUGAUGUCCCAUCAACAUAUUCACACUAAUGAGAGACCAAUAAGAUACUCUCACUGUGGGACUCGGUACAGAUGAAUGUGUAACCUCACUGUACUCCAAUGAAUUCACACAGUGGAGAAACAAUUCACUUGCUUCAACUGCAGGAAGGGAUUCACCAGGUCAUUGUACCUGCUGAAACACCAGCAAGUUCAUUCUGACAAGAGAAUGUGGGAAAUGGUAUAAACAUUCUGGAGAAUUAGCCCCCAUGAACUUCUUCAUAUUAUCGAAAUAACUUUUGAAUUUUUCAAUUUCAGAAAAUGCUUUAAAAAUUCUCAACAAGUGAUGAUCCAUCAAUGUGUUUACACAGGUGAGAGACCGUUCCAGUGCUCUCACUUUGAAACUGGGUUCAGGUCAUCAUUUCACCUCAUUGCAUGCCAGUGAUGUCAUACUGGAGAGAGAUUGUUUGCCUGCAUUGAAUGUGGGAAGGGAUUCACUCAAACACCCGACCCCCUGAAACAUGAGUGAAUUCACAAGUAACCACCAUGGUUGCAUUUUGCUAUUAAUUAUAUUUGGCAAUGAGCAUAUUUCAUUGUUGUCUGUU